GAGGAAACUUUUAUUAUCUCUACUAAUCUGUCACUAAACAUUAGGAGUCAAGGACUAACAACUUAAUGACAAAAUGAGCUAAAUUAUUCAUAAAGGCAAAAAUGUAUUAUUAAAAAAUAUGCCCCAUUCUUAUAAAUAGAUAAAGCAACUGUGAUUAAAGGGAAUUUUUUGUCCUCUCUCUCAUCCUCUAUUAUUGACUGACCAUCAAAGAGGGCACGCAGGGAUCUCUUGCUCCUCCUAUGAUACUUUCAUUCCUUUUUGCAGCUAUUUCCAUCCCCAGUUAGAGCUAAAAUGCCUCCCCAUCGACAUGUGCAAUAUCAAGUCGUAUUUAUUAAAAUGUUAAUUAGAGAGUGUUAAGCUCCAUUUCUACACAUUUCCAUAGUAGAAAUUCCAUGUAUUUUUACUAAUUAGGUAGUUUAGAUAAACAACCAAAUUGCAA
rnacentral:misc_RNA from 1 species